rnacentral:rRNA from 1 species
AGAGUUUGAUCAUGGCUCAGAGCGAACGCUGGCGGCAGGCCUAACACAUGCAAGUCGAGCGCCCAGCAAUGGGAGCGGCAGACGGGAUAGUAACACGUGGGAACGUACCCUUCAGUUCGGAACAACCCAGGGAAACUUGGGCUAAUACCGAAUACGUCCGUAAGGAGAAAGAUUUAUCGCUGAAGGAUCGGCCCGCGUCUGAUUAGCUAGUUGGUGAGGUAACGGCUCACCAAGGCGACGAUCAGUAGCUGGUCUGAGAGGAUGAUCAGCAUCACUGGGACUGAGACACGGCCCAGACUCCUACGGGAGGCAGCAGUGGGGAAUAUUGGACAAUGGGCGCAAGCCUGAUCCAGCCAUGCCGCGUGGAUGAUGAAGGCCCUAGGGUUGUAAAGUCCUUUCGACGGGGAAGAUAAUGACGGUACCCGUAGAAGAAGCCCCGGCUAACUUCGUGCGCAGCCGCGGUAAUACGAAGGGGGCUAGCGUUGCUCGGAAUCACUGGGCGUAAAGCGCACGUAGGCGGACUCUUAAGUCGGUGGUGAAAUCCUGGAGCUCAACUCCAGAACUGCCUUCGAUACUGAGAGUCUCGAGUCCGGGAGAGGUGAGUGGAACUGCGAGUGUAGAGGUGAAAUUCGUAGAUAUUGGGAAGAACACCGGUGGCGAAGGCGGCGACCUGGUCCGAGACUGACGCUGAGGCGCGAAAGCGUGGGGAGCAAACAGGAUUAGAUACCCUAGUAGUCC